AUGAUCCGUGAAAUAUGCAUCUCAAAGGCUAGGGAGGAAAACCUUGUUUUGACGCUGGAGGAAGGAUGUUGUUUGAGUGACACACAAGGUGCAAUACGUCAUCUUGUCAUUGGCAGCAACUGGAAAAGGGAUAAAGAUGUACUGGAGAGCAUGCUAGACUUGUCACAUGUACGGUCAUUGACCGUGUUUGGGGAGUGGAGAUCUUUCUUCAUCUCCGAAAAUAUGAGGUUUGUGCGAGUGCUUGACUUAGAGGACACACUGGGGUUAAGAGAUCAUCAUCUUGAAAAAAUCGGGCAGCUACGUCACCUCAAGUACCUUUCUCUACGAGGAUGUCACAACAUUUUAUGCCUGCCUAAUUGUUUGGGGAAUUUGAGGCACCUCCAAACACUGGAUGUUAGAGGUACCCGUAUAUUUGAGUUGCCAACAACAAUCACCAAUCUCCGGGAGCUGCAGUACCUUCAUGCAGAUAGUGGUCAGAAUGCAGGAGGCAAUGUCAAGGGAGAUGACAUAGUUCAAAUGUAUGAUGCUGAUGGUUUUUCCGAAGGUGGGACAUGUGCCAAUUGUGUGUUCAGCUCUCAUGUUUUCUUGAGACCACAAGUUUUAGAUGCUGGUUUGAACAGGUAUGAUAUAUUCAAUCUAUACCGCUUCCAGGAGAGGCAGCUAGAUGGUGUUGUGCUUCCUAGAGGGAUUGGUAAAUUGAAGGUCCUUCACACAUUAGGUUUUGUCAAUGUUUCUCGUAGCAAUGGAAAGACCACUCUAAAAGAGAUAGGGGAGCUUACUCAGGUGCGUAAGCUUAGAGUUGCUGGUAUUAGUAGCGAAAACACUAAGGAGUUAUGGUCUGCCAUUGCUGGUCACAAUCAACUUGGAUCUCUAUCAGUGGCAAGUGAAAUAUUUGAUGGUUCUUUGGAUGGUUGUUUGGGUGAAGGUUUGUUGCCACCAAGCAGCCUGGAGAGCCUCACUCUGGAAGGUAGGCUAACCAAUGUACCAAAAUGGAUCCAUAUGCUUCAGAAUCUCUCCAAGCUGGUGCUACGGGAGAGCUACUUGAGGCAAGAUUCCAUACAAGCCCUUGGGUUCCUACCAAAUCUUGCAGUCCUACGCCUCUGGGAUGCGUUCACGGGGACACAUCUCCAAUUCCGGAGCUCAUCUUUCCCGAGUCUCAUGGAGCUACAUCUCUCACGAUUAUACAUCCUCGAGUCGGUGUCGUUUGAAGAAGACGCAUUGCCUAAGCUCGAGCUGCUACAAGUUGAUUUGUGUGUUGAGCUGAAUGGAUUCUCCGGGCUGCCAGCGGUCCUCACAAGCCUCAAGGAAAUUCGGUUGUCUAAUAGCGAACUCAAGAAAGACGUGGAGAGGCAGGUGGAGCAUAUGAAGCACGUGAGAGUGAAUUUUGUUGACUAA
rnacentral:rRNA from 1 species